GAUGAACGCUGGCGGCGUGCCUAAUACAUGCAAGUCGAGCGAACGGACGAGAAGCUUGCUUCUCUGAUGUUAGCGGCGGACGGGUGAGUAACACGUGGAUAACCUACCUAUAAGACUGGGAUAACUUCGGGAAACCGUAGCUAAUACCGGAUAAUAUUUUGAACCGCAUGGUUCAAAAGUGAAAGACGGUCUUGCUGUCACUUAUAGAUGGAUCCGCGCUGCAUUAGCUAGUUGGUAAGGUAACGGCUUACCAAGGCAACGAUGCAUAGCCGACCUGAGAGGGUGGUCGGCCACACUGGAACUGAGACAGGGUCCAGACUCCUACGGGAGGCAGCAGUAGGGAAUCUUCCGCAAUGGGCGAAAGCCUGACGGAGCAACGCCGCGUGAGUGAUGAAGGUCUUCGGAUCGUAAAGCUCUGUUAUUAGGGGAGAACAUAUGUGUAAGUAGCUGUGCACAUCUUGACGGUACCUAAUCAGGAAGCCACGGCUAACUACGUG
rnacentral:rRNA from 1 species